rnacentral:misc_RNA from 1 species
UUUCCGUAGGUGAACCUGCGGAAGGAUCAUUCAUAAUAAAGUGUUUUAUGGCACUUUUUAAAAAUCCAUAUCCACCUUGUGUGCAAUGUUAGAUCUCGUCAAUCUUGGCGUGAUUUUUAUACAUCAACUCAUUCUUUAACUAAUUUGUCUGAAAAAUAUUAUGAAUACUUAAUUCAAAAUACAACUUUCAACAACGGAUCUCUUGGCUCUC